rnacentral:tRNA from 2 species
AGCUAUUUAGUUUAUUUUAAAAUAUCUAUUUGUGGUGUAGGGGAAAUUUGGUGGCUU